rnacentral:rRNA from 1 species
CUACGGGAGGCAGCAGUGGGGAAUCUUGCGCAAUGGGCGAAAGCCUGACGCAGCAACGCCGCGUGCGGGAUGAAGGCCUUCGGGCUGUAAACCGCUUUCAGCAGGAACGAAAAUGACGGUACCUGCAGAAGAAGGAGCGGCCAACUACGUGCCAGCAGCCGCGGGUGACACGUAGGCUCCAAGCGUUGUCCGGAUUUAUUGGGCGUAAAGAGCUCGUAGGCGGUUGAGUAAGUCGGGUGUGAAAACUCUGGGCUUAACCCGGAGACGCCAUCCGAUACUGCUCUGACUAGAGUUCAGGAGGGGAGUGGGGAAUUCCUAGUGUAGCGGUGAAAUGCGCAGAUAUUAGGAGGAACACCGGUGGCGAAGGCGCCACUCUGGACUGAAACUGACGCUGAGGAGCGAAAGCAUGGGUAGCAAACAGGAUUAGAUACCCGCGUAGUC